UGGCAUCAGCAGUAAAUGUACCUACACUGAAACAAUACAGAGAAGAUUAUCAUGGCCUCUGUGCAGGAAUGACAUGCAAAUUCACAAAUCAUUCCGUGUGUUU
ensembl:snRNA U6 U6 spliceosomal RNA